rnacentral:rRNA from 1 species
AUGCACGCUGGCGGCGUGCCUCAUACCUGCAAGUCGAGCGGACAGAUGAGGAGCUUGCUCCUCUGACGUUAGCGGCGGACGGGUGAGUAACACGUGGAUAACCUACCUAUAAGACUGGGAUAACUUCGGGAAACCGGAGCUAAUACCGGAUAAUAUAUUGAACCGCAUGGUUCAAUAGUGAAAGACGGUUUUGCUGUCACUUAUAGAUGGAUCCGCGCCGCAUUAGCUAGUUGGUAAGGUAACGGCUUACCAAGGCAACGAUGCGUAGCCGACCUGAGAGGGUGAUCGGCCACACUGGAACUGAGACACGGUCCAGACUCCUACGGGAGGCAGCAGUAGGGAAUCUUCCGCAAUGGGCGAAAGCCUGACGGAGCAACACCGCGUGAGUGAUGAAGGUCUUCGGAUCGUAAAACUCUGUUAUUAGGGAAGAACAAAUGUGUAAGUAACUAUGCACGUCUUGACGGUACCUAAUCAGAAAGCCACGGCUAACUACGUG